GGUUGGGAUCGGGAAGGGGCAAGUUCUUGUUUCGAAGGAUGCUCGCUGCCUCCUGCUGCAGACUUGGCUGGAGCCGUUUUAUGAGGAUUUUGGGUGGAUGCGGCGGGCAUGUAAGGGGCUUGAUCGGCAUCUGGUUGAGGAUGGGCUGGGAAAUACGAUUCUGACAUUGCCGCUGGCGAUGCAGCAGGAGAUAUUACUGGCUUGGUUUGAUCGGUUUCUGAACUCAGG
rnacentral:misc_RNA from 1 species